CUACCUUAUAGAGGGGAAUAGCCCAGAGAAAUUUGGAUUAAUGCCCCAUAGUAUUAUCGAUUAGCAUUAAUUGAUGAUUAAACAUUUAUGGCUAUAAGAUGGGUAUGCGUUCUAUUAGCUAGAUGGUAAGGUAACGGCUUACCAUGGCUACGAUAGAUAGGGGUCCUGAGAGGGAGAUCCCCCACACUGGUACUGAGACACGGACCAGACUCCUACGGGAGGCAGCAGUGAGGAAUAUUGGACAAUGGGCGAGAGCCUGAUCCAGCCAUGCCGCGUGCAGGAAGACGGCCCUAUGGGUUGUAAACUGCUUUUAUACAGGAAGAAACACUCCCUUGCGAGGGAGCUUGACGGUACUGUACGAAUAAGGAUCGGCUAACUCCGUGCCAGCAGCCGCGGUAAUACGGAGGAUCCAAGCGUUAUCCGGAAUCAUUGGGUUUAAAGGGUCCGUAGGCGGGACAAUCAGUCAGCGGUGAAAGUCUGUGGCUCAACCAUAGAAUUGCCAUUGAUACUGUUGUUCUUGAAUACUUAUGAAGUGGUUGGAAUAUGUAGUGUAGCGGUGAAAUGCAUAGAUAUUACAUAGAACACCGAUUGCGAAGGCAGAUCACUAAUAAUUUAUUGACGCUGAUGGACGAAAGCGUGGGUAGCGAACAGGAUUAGAUACCCUGGUAGUCCACGCCGUAAACGAUGGUUACUAGCUGUUCGGUCGCAAGACUGAGUGGCUAAGCGAAAGUGAUAAGUAACCCACCUGGGGAGUACGUUCGCAAGAAUGAAACUCAAAGGAAUUGACGGGGGCCCGCACAAGCGGUGGAGCAUGUGGUUUAAUUCGAUGAUACGCGAGGAACCUUACCAGGGCUUAAAUGUAGAUUGACAGGGGUGGAAACACCUUUUCCUUCGGGCAAUUUACAAGGUGCUGCAUGGUUGUCGUCAGCUCGUGCCGUGAGGUGUCAGGUUAAGUCCUAUAACGAGCGCAACCCCUGUUGUUAGUUGCCAGCGAGUCAAGUCGGGAACUCUAACAAGACUGCCAGUGCAAACUGUGAGGAAGGUGGGGAUGACGUCAAAUCAUCACGGCCCUUACGUCCUGGGCCACACACGUGCUACAAUGGUAGGGACAGAGAGCAGCCACUGCGCAAGCAGGAGCGAAUCUAUAAACCCUAUCUCAGUUCGGAUCGGAGUCUGCAACUCGACUCCGUGAAGCUGGAAUCGCUAGU
rnacentral:rRNA from 1 species